UCCCGUUUCACUUGGAGUUGCCACAGCAGGUCCAGUAUGGCUCUGCAUGGUGAUUUGGCACCAGCUUUAUGCUGGAUGCCCUUCCUGUUUCAACUCCAC